UUAAUUGAAACCAAAAUAGAGGUAAAUUAUUGUUAAUAAUUUUAUUGAAUAAAAUUUAUUCCAAUUAAU
rnacentral:tRNA from 1 species